GGAAAUACCAGUUCACAAAAGCUAGCCACGGUGUUAUGUAAUCUCACAACAUAACCAUUUAGCCCGAAGACAACGCAGAUCCUUCCUAAGCAUGUCCUUUACUGUCUGCCAGGCAAGAGCGGUGGAGCGACGGCAUUGAUGGUGGAAUCUUCGAUAUCAUGAAGAGAGAGGAAUGACACAUCAAGGAUGCCCCUCCUGUGACUGUCAACACAGACGCAUUCAUCUUCAUUAGCUCAGAUACUUGAACAUUCAUCACGGAGAAAGAGCUCCAUCCUGUAAGACCUCUGGACCCGCAGUCACAAUUAAAGUGACACAUGUAGAACAUCAGGGUGAAUACAGAGAAUAAUGGCUGCGGUGAGACGUAUCGGAUGAGAUAUCCACAGUUAAUUCUGUUUAUUGCCUAAAAGCAUCUGCCACAUACUAAGCCAUACAAUACUGCAUUGUAAAUGUUAUAUUAAAGGGG